GUAUCUGGCAAAGAAGGCAGAGAUGAUAUAAGAUGGAAAACUAAAUGCUGUAUGGAAGGAGACAGCAUGUGGAGAAGUCCCAAAUCUCAUAUCCUACAUGGCUUUAAAUACCUCAGACACAUCUGUACUGCUGGAUUAUUUAUGAAAUGAGUUGGGAGAGACCCCAACUGCCAGGAGCAAGCUGUCAGAAAAGGGAACCAUUGGAACCAUCAUCAUCCUUCCAAACAACAAUGUGGCCUCAUCCCAGCUCUCCAUCCCAUGACUCUACCCCAACAGGGAUUAUUGUGACCAUGUCAACCAAUUCUGUUAUUUUGUACAUCAAGAAAGGAGCAGUGAUAUUUGUGGCAAGAAGAUGAACUGAAUAAUUAAUGAAAAAGUGAAAAUAAAGGGAAGUAAGACCACUCCCAU